rnacentral:rRNA from 1 species
UAACCGUAGUAAUUCUAGAGCUAAUACAUGCUGUAAACCUGUACUUUUCGGAAAGGUUGUAUUUAUUAGAUAUCAAACCAAUAAUCUUCGGGAUUAUUGUGAUGAUUCAUAAUAACUGAUCGGAUCAAGGUGUACCUUGAUAGAUCAUUCAAGUUUCUGCCCUAUCAGCUUUCGAUGGUAGUGUAUUGGACUACCAUGGCAGUCACGGGUAACGGAGAAUUAGGGUUCGAUUCCGGAGAGGGAGCCUGAGAAACGGCUACCACAUCUACGGAAGGCAGCAGGCGCGUAAAUUACCCCAAUCCUGAUUCAGGGAGGUAGUGACAAGAAAUAACAACUCGGGGCCUCACGGCUUACGAGAUUGCAAUGAGAACAAUUUAAAUCUCUUAGCGAGGAACAAUUGGAGGGC